rnacentral:rRNA from 1 species
GACGUAGGGGGCCAGCGUUGUUCGGAAUUACUGGGUGUAAAGGGUUCGUAGGCGGUGUGGCAAGUCGGGAGUGAAAUCUCUGGGCUCAACUCAGAGACUGCUUCCGAAACUGCUGUGCUGGAGUGUGGGAGAGGCGCGUGGAAUUGCAGGUGUAGCGGUGAAAUGCGUAGAUAUCAGGAGGAACACCGGUGGCGAAGGCGGUUCUCUGGGCAUUACCUGACGCUGAGGAGCGAAAGUGUGGGGAGCGAACAGG